AUUCCAGCUCCAAUAGCGUAUAUUAAUGUUGUUGCGGUUAAAAAGCUCGUAGUUGGAUCUCAACACGUCGCGGGCGGUUCGUUAUUCGACGUUACUGCCCCGUCGAUGUGUGUGUUUUGACGGAGGCUUCGGGGUGAUCUUAAUCGAUUGUCUCGUAGUGCCGUCAGGUUUACUUUGAAAAAAUUAGAGUGCUCAAAGCAGGCUUUACACGCUUGAAUAUCUGUGCAUGGAAUAAUGGAAUAGGACACUGUUUCUAUUUUGUUGGUUUUCGGAAAUCGGUGUAAUGAUUAAUAGGGACAGUCGGGGGCAUUAGUAUUCAGACGACAGAGGUGAAAUUCUUGGACCGUCUGAAGACUAACUACUGCGAAAGCAUUUGCCAAGAAUGUUUUCAUUAAUCAAGAACGAAAGUUAGAGGUUCGAAGGCGAUCAGAUACCGCCCUAGUUCUAACCAUAAACGAUGCCAGCUAGCGAUCCGAGGAUGUUUAUAUUUUAUGUCUCCUCGGGAAGCUUCCGGGAAACCAAAGCUUUUGGGUUCCGGGGGAAGUAUGGUUGCAAAACUGAAACUUAAAGGAAUUGACGGAAGGGCACCACCAGGAGUGGAGCCUGCGGCUUAAUUUGACUCAACACGGGAAAUCUCACCAGGCCCGGACACUGGAAGGAUUGACAGAUUGAGAGCUC
rnacentral:rRNA from 1 species